rnacentral:rRNA from 1 species
UACGUAGGGUGCGAGCGUUGUCCGGAAUUAUUGGGCGUAAAGGGCUCGUAGGCGGUUUGUCGCGUCGGGAGUGAAAACCCAGGGCUUAACUCUGGGCUUGCUUUCGAUACGGGCAGACUAGAGGUAUGCAGGGGAGAUCGGAAUUCCUGGUGUAGCGGUGAAAUGCGCAGAUAUCAGGAGGAACACCGGUGGCGAAGGCGGUUCUCUGGGCAUUACCUGACGCUGAGGAGCGAAAGUGUGGGGAGCGAACAGG